rnacentral:rRNA from 1 species
UACGAAGGGGGCUAGCGUUGCUCGGAAUCACUGGGCGUAAAGGGUGCGUAGGCGGGUCUUUUAAGUCAGGGGUGAAAUCCUGGAGCUCAACUCCAGAACUGCCUUUGAUACUGAGGAUCUUGAGUUCGGGAGAGGUGAGUGGAACUGCGAGUGUAGAGGUGAAAUUCGUAGAUAUUCGCAAGAACACCAGUGGCAAAGGCGGCUCACUGGCCCGAUACUGACGCUGAGGCACGAAAGCGUGGGGAGCAAACAGG